UACAGAGGUGGCAAGCGUUGUUCGGAAUUACUGGGCGUAAAGGGCGCGUAGGCGGCCUUCUAAGUCAGACGUGAAAUCCCCAGGCUUAACUUGGGAACUGCGUCUGAUACUGGGAGGCUUGAGUGCGGGAGAGGGAUGUGGAAUUCCAGGUGUAGCGGUGAAAUGCGUAGAUAUCUGGAGGAACACCGGUGGCGAAGGCGGCAUCCUGGACCGACACUGACGCUGAGGCGCGAAAGCGUGGGGGAGCAAACAGG
rnacentral:rRNA from 1 species